ACCAGCAUCACCAUUACCCAGGAGCUGGCUAGAGAUACAGACUCUUAGAUCCUACCCCAGAUCUACUGAACCAGACUCUGCCCUUUCACAAGAUCUCCAGGUGAUUCCAAGGAAGAUUAAAGUUUGAGAAUCAGUGACCUAGAGACAACUGGAAAUGAGAACCUGAAGCAUCUAAAAUAAAUUUGAGCUAGAGGUGUAACUGAGUGCAAUCCACAUUCCACAGGUUUCUCAAGUGUGGUCCCUGGACCAGGAGCAUCACCGUCACAUGGGAACUUUUUAAGAAAUGCAGAUGCUUGAGACUCAGUCAAGAGCUACUGAAUCAGAAACUAUCAAAGGGGCCCCGAAAUCUGUGUUUUAACAACCCUGGAUAUGAUUCUCAUACACAUCAAAGUUUGGGAGCUACUGCCACAAACCAGUGAAUUGCAAUUAUAGGAGUUAUUAUUCUCCUGAAAGAAGGAAGAGAGGAAGAUGUGGAUGCUUAUAAUAUCGUUCCUAUGAGAAAUACCACCUGUUUCAUGGCGAUUUCCUUUACGCUGCAUUUUCUAGAAUGCACAUGGGGAAAAUCAUGGCUUGGCUGAGGACUAUUUUCACCACUGUGCUGAUGACCUCGCCAAUCUGCUUUUCUAUCUAGUGAAAGUACUAGGACGGUGCUGUGGGUAAAGAUGCAGGGGACAGAAAGGGAGGCAGACAUCCAAAAAUGGCUUUGCAUUGUGCCAACCUGAGCCUGCUGGGGUUUACUGCGCUUGGAGCACUGUGCUUCUACAGGCGGCCUCAUUUCUCGCCUUGUGGUCCCUUCCUCCACCUCCAAAGCCAGCAGCAUGACGUCAGAUUUCCCUCUGACUCUUCUGCUUGUUCUCUUCCACGUAUAAGGAUCCUUACAAUUACCUAAGGCCCACUCCAAUAAUCCAGGAUAAUCUCCCCGUCUCAAGGCAGCCCCGCCUCUCAAAAUACACUCUCACCUCUUGGGGUUGUUGGUACUGAGAAGCCAUCAGAAGGAAAGUCCGCUGAGCCUGGAAAGCGCUAUGCACCAUCUCCGCCUGGGAACCAAGAGGAAGAGGGAAGUUCAGAUGUUUGAGCUUCAGAACAAAGGGUGACCAUAUGAUCCAGCAAUUCCAUCCCUAGAUAUGAACCCCAAAUUGAAAACAUAUGUCCACACAAAGCCUUGCUAAUCGAUGUUCGCAGCAGCAUUAUUCAUGAUAGUCAAGAUGUAGAGACAACCAGAAUGUUCAUUAAGGGAUGAAUGGAUAAACAAAAUGUGACAUAUCAAUACAAUGGGAUAUUAGUCGGCAUUAAAAAGAGACGAAGUGCUGAUAUAUGCCAGAAUGUGGGUGACCCUUGGAAACAUGCUGAGUGAAGGAAGCCGGUCAAAAAAGACCACAUGUGUAUGAUUCCAUUGAUAUGAAAUGUCCAGAAUAAGCAAAUCUACAGAGACAGAAAGGACACUCGUGGUUGCCUGGGGCUGGUGGGAGAGAGGAAUGGAGUAUGAGGUUUCUUUUGGGGGUGAUGCUGGAAUCAGAUAAUGCUGGUGCUUUCACAACUUGGGGAAUCUACUAAAAACCACCGAAUUGCUCAUGUUAAAAGAGUGAAUGUUAUUCUGUGGGAAUGACAUCUCAAUAAA